UGGGGAAUAUUGCACAAUGGGGGAAACCCUGAUGCAGCGACGCCGCGUGAGCGAUGAAGGCUUUCGAGUCGUAAAGCUCUGUCCUAUGGGAAGAUAAUGACGGUACCAUAGAAGAAAGCCCCGGCUAAUUACGUGCCAGCAGCCGCGGUAAUACGUAAGGGGCGAGCGUUGUCCGGAAUUGUUGGGCGUAAAGAGUGCGUAGGCGGCAAAUUAAGUCAGAUGUGAAAACUAAGGGCUCAACCCAUAGAUUGCAUCUGAAACUGAUAUGCUUGAGUCAAGGAGAGGAAAGUGGAAUUCCUAGUGUAGCGGUGGAAUGCGUAGAUAUGAGGAGGAAUACCGGUGGCGAAAGCGACUUUCUGGACUUGAACUGACGCUGAGGCACGAAAGCGUGGGGAGCAAACAGG
rnacentral:rRNA from 1 species